GACGGAGGAUGCAAGCGUUAUCCGGAAUGAUUGGGCGUAAAGCGUCUGCAGGUGGCAGUUCAAGUCUGCUGUCAAAGACCGGGGCUUAACUUCGGAAAGGCAGUGGAAACUGAACAGCUAGAGUAUGGUAGGAGCAGAGGGAAUUCCUGGUGUAGCGGUGAAAUGCGUAGAGAUCAGGAAGAACAUCGGUGGCGAAGGCGCUCUGCUGGACCAUAACUGACACUCAGGGACGAAAGCUAGGGGAGCGAAUGGG
rnacentral:rRNA from 1 species